UACGUAGGGUCCGAGCGUUGUCCGGAAUUACUGGGCGUAAAGAGCUCGUAGGUGGUUUGUCGCGUUGUUCGUGAAAACUCACAGCUCAACUGUGGGCGUGCGGGCGAUACGGGCACCACUGGAGUUCGGCAGGGGAGACUGGAAUUCCUGGUGUAGCGGUGAAAUGCGCAGAUAUCAGGAGGAACACCGGUGGCGAAGGCGGGUCUCUGGGCCGAUACUGACGCUGAGGAGCGAAAGCAUGGGUAGCGAACAGG
rnacentral:rRNA from 1 species